GAUGAACGCUGGCGGCGUGCCUAAUACAUGCAAGUCGAGCGAACGGACGAGAAGCUUGCUUCUCUGAUGUUAGCGGCGGACGGGUGAGUAACACGUGGAUAACCUACCUAUAAGACUGGGAUAACUUCGGGAAACCGGAGCUAAUACCGGAUGAUAUUUUGAACCGCAUGGUUCAAAAGUGAAAGACGGUCUUGCUGUCACUUAUAGAUGGAUCCGCGCUGCAUUAGCUAGUUGGUAAGGUAACGGCUUACCAAGGCAACGAUGCAUAGCCGACCGGAGAGGGGGGUCGCUCACACAAGAGCUGAGACAUGGUGCAGACUCAUACAGGAGGCAGCCGUCAGGAAUCUUCCGCAGUGGGCGGAAACCUGACGGAGCAACGCCGCGGGAGACAUGAACUUCUUCUGAUCGUAAAACUCUGUUAUUAGGGAAGAACAUAUGUGUAAGUAACUGUGCUCAUCUUGACGGUACCUAAUCAGAAGACAGCGGCUAACUACGUG
rnacentral:rRNA from 1 species